AUUGAACGCUGGCGGCAUGCCUUACACAUGCCAGUCGAACGGUAACGGGCCUUCGGGUGCCGACGAGUGGCGAACGGGUGCGUAAUACAUCGGAACGUGCCCGAUCGUGGGGGAUAACGAGGCGAAAGCUUUGCUAAUACCGCAUACGAUCUACGGAUGAAAGCAGGGGACCGCAAGGCCUUGCGCGGACGGUGCGGCCGAGGGCAGAUUAGGUAGUUGGUGGGAUAAAAGCUUACCAAGCCGACGAUCUGUAGCUGGUCUGAGAGGAUGAUCAGCCACACUGGGACUGAGACACGGCCCAGACUCCUACGGGAGGCAGCAGUGGGGAAUUUUGGACAAUGGGCGCAAGCCUGAUCCAGCCAUGCCGCGUGCAGGAUGAAGGCCUUCGGGUUGUAAACUGCUUUUGUACGGAACGAAAAGCCUUCUUUUAAUACAGGAGGGUCAUGACGGUACCGUAAGAAUAAGCACCGGCUAACUACGUG
rnacentral:rRNA from 1 species